UCCACGCCCCGCGCGGCUCCCUCGCGUCCCGCGUCCCGCGUCCCGCGUCCCCUGCUCACCCGGUGGCAAAGCCGGCGAGGAGGCGGCGGCGCUGGUGGGGACUGACCCGGCAGUCCGAGAAUCCACCGCGGCCUUUUCACCCAACCGCCCCCUCCUGCGUGGGGGCCCCGCAUCCCCUGGACUGGCGUGGGCUCUGGGGCCCGAUGCCCUGGCAGCCCCGGCCAUCUCUGCCGCUGGCCGCGGGUACCUGCUCACCUGUCCACGCCGUGGCCGACCCGGGGAUCACCGACAGCCGGGCCAUGCCUCGAGUCCCGCCGCCCGCGCCGCUGCUCGGCUUCUCAGAAACGCACCUCCACGCCGCCAGCCGGGGCUCCAGGGUCCACCGCCCGGGCCCGGAGGACUGGCGACUCCCUCCGAGGUUGGGAGCGCUCCGGAUUUCUCCAACUUCAGGCCCUGAAAUGUGGUAGUUCAGCUCCACAUUGGAUGCUUUUGGCCGAUGCCUUGGUUUUGCUCCUCCCCUAUGUGCCAGUCCUAUGAGUCUGCUAGCCUCCUGGUUCAGUGUGGAAGCCUCCUUGGCUGCAGCGGGGGUCAUGCACAGCAGCCUCAGGAGGCUGCAUUUGUCCAUCUCAGCAUCUCUUUCCCUGGGUCUGGCCCUCAACCUCUUUCUUGUAGGCUGGAAUUUGAGUGCUUCACUCCCUGAACUCUGGAGGAUUUUAACAUAGUUACGACUUGUGUCUCCAAAUGGAUAAACCAGGACCAGUGCCGCACUCAGUCGAAGCCAACUAGACCACUGCUAGACCACUUUUUUCAACACCGAGUGUGCCAUGAGAAACUAUGUUAAUAAAAGGCAAAAAUGUGGAAGGAACAGGAAGAAUGAAAAAGCAAAAUAAAAAAGGGCAAAUUCUUGCAAAACCUCUUCAUCCCUAGCUUUUCCCAGAAAUCCUGGCAUUUCUUCAGUAAAUUUGUUCUGUGCAAGUAUUUGUUCUACCAAGACCGAUCAGUGAAAAAUGAGAAAAACCUAGUUUCUUCCCUAGGAAUUGAUGCCAUUUUAUGAAAUCUGUUAUUAAUAUCAGCCAGUUGUCGAGAAAGUGCACUUGUUCAGUAGCUGACUUUGGCUGCUCAGUAUGGGCUUUUGCUUUGCCAAAAAUAAUGAGAUCACUUUUCUAAUUCCUUUUUAAUGUGUUUACACAGCUUCAACAGUAUUGCCUGCUCUAUACACUAGGAAACAUUAUGUGGAACAGCAAAUUUGCUUUCCAAGUCAAACUGAAGAAAACCACACAAUAAUUAUCUAGAAUUAACUUACUGAAUUUAAAGAGGAAUAUACUUGAACUGCCUGACAAAUUAUGCAUUAAGAACAAACCAAGAGAAAAACAAAACAAACAUCACACCAUAAUAUUUUUGUAAAAAGUUUUGAAAGACAAGUGUUUCAUCGUCUUGAGAACGCUGACUUAUGAUGCCCUUGAUUGGCAUUAAGGAAACAAACUCUGGGAAAGAAUGAUGACGUCCUGUUAUAUUCUCAUCUUUGUAUUGCUCUCUCAAGAAAUAUGGGGGAGGAGGAGCCAGAAGAAGAAACAGCUCGAAGAAUUGACUAUUGUUGCCUCUGGCAAAUGGGAUGAGGAAAUGGGAAGUUAUGAGACAAGGAAAUGAUGAGUUUCAUUACAAGCCUAGAAGUAAUUAAGCGUUUAUGUUACUCAUUUGUACUAUUUUCACUUAAGACAAUGAAAAUUUAUAAUUUCUAAAGAGCAGAAAAGAGCUCGGAAAGGUUACCUGCUUGGUAACCAAUGGCUGUAUGAUAUGUUGCCUGACUGUUAAAUCCAGAAACUGUCAAAAGAUGGGUUUUGUUUAGGUUGAGCCAGACUUUCUCCAGAAGGAGUAACGCACCAAAGGAUCUGUCUGACUCCCACCCCCAUGACCACCUCUAUUUCUGCUCAUCUCCAGCUUGACCGCUGGACCUUCAGGCAGGUCUUCCCUUGUCCCACAGCCAAGUGUUGCCCCUCUCCAUUCAUCUCUUCUACUAUUAUCAUCAGCUGAGUCAGAAAUAGAAGACUCAGUGGACACAAAAAAAGACUAGCUGCCAUUCUGAGCUAGAGGCUGCUUCAGAGGAAGACAGCUGACUUCACUGACCACCCACUCAGUCCCAGGCACUGGACUCUGGGCACCUUUCCAUAUUAUUAUCUUAAUUGAGCAUCCCAACUGAUAUGGCCAGGCUUUAUGUCCCCACUCAAAUCUCAUCCUGAAUUAUAAUCCCCAUAAUCCCCUCGUGUCAAGGGAGAGACCAGGUGGAGGUGAUUGGAUUAUGGGGGCGGUUCCCAUGCUGUUCUCAUGAUAGAGUGAGAUCAUGAGAUCUCAUGGUUUUACAAGUGUUUGGUAGUUCCUCCUGCAUUUAUUCUCCUUCCUGCCACCUUGUGAAGAAGGUACCUUGCUUCCCCUUUGCCUUCCACCAUGAUUAUAAGUUUCCUGAGGCCUCCCCAGCCAUGUGGAACUGUGAGUCAAUUAAGCCUCUUUCUUUAUCAAUUACCCAGUCUCAGGCAGUUCUUUACAGCAGUAUGAAAAUGGGCGAAUACCCUGGCCCUAAGAGGUAGACUUUAUUACAUCCAUUUCAAAGAAAGACCAAGAGACAGAGCCUCAGGGCAGUUUGCCAAGUCUUACAGCUAGGUGGGGGCUGCAUUGGGACGUUAACCUGAUUAUUCUGAUGGACACGAGACCAAGGGUCUUGCUUGGUUGGUGAUUAAGCAACAGCACUGGUGAAGAACAGACACACACCCUGGUUCACAGGAGCUGCUCACCCCAGUCCAGCUGGUCUGAGGGCAUGUGGCUCCCAAGUUCAGGUCUGAUGCAAUAAGUUGGGGAGGGAAAAGGACAAUUGCAGUGGCCAAGGAAAGGGAGUGAAGGUGCCUACCCAUGAGCAGCCGCCGUUUCACCCGUUUAUCCCCAUCCACCACUGAUGUGGUGUUGCUCUCUGUCACCUCCAGGACAGUGUCCUCUCGCUCUACAAGAGAAGCAAAAGAGCACGGUUCUCAGACUGAAUGAGUUAGAUUGCUCAUCCCCAUACAACUGUGUUUGCUGAAAUCCCAGACAUAAGAGGAAUGAAAGAUAUGUGACUCUGUUCACGCAAUAAAAAUGUGUUGUAAUGAGGCUCUGUGGGAGACACAGCCCGUUAAAGGGCCACAGAUCCUUAGCAAACAUUAAACAUGGAAAAGAUUUUGGAGGUAUAUUGCACUGACCAAAGAGACACUAGGGAAUGCAAGCUUCAGUCCCCUGAGUCGAGGAGAAAAAGAGCCUUGGGCCUGGAAACCUCUAAAAUGGAGCUAGUGAAGGACACACCGUGAAGGGCAAGGCAGGCAUCCCGCCAGAAAUAUACGGCCCUGGCUCCUGCUGGCCAGAAGUGCCGCAUCAUUAUAAACAGCUCUAACUUCGUGCUGCCCUGGCCUCCUGGGAGGUGUUGUGCCAGUCUCUGGAAUACCAGCGUUAGGAGCAGCCUAGUCCAGGAGAGGAGGAAGGGCUUCCCAAGGUCACACAGGGAGAGAGGGGCCUUCCCCACAGGCCUAGACCACUCCCACUGUAGCAUGCGAAGCAGCACAGGGCCUGCUGGGGGGGCAAAUGCACAGGAAACAGCCUGCAUCUGUGCUAAACACCAUUAAGGGGUAGGGGUAGGGACAGGCAGGCUGGUGCAGACCCUCACUCAGUGUUGGGGUUGCCACUCACCAAGGCAGCUCCUCCCAUCUGUGUGCAUCUUGUACUGUGGAUGGCAGCUGCACUCUGGGCCAUCGGCUGUAUCGUCACAGGAGUGCUGGCACCCACCGUUCCCAUGGUUACAGGUCACUGACAGCAAAAUGAAUCAAUACAUAAAGCACUGAGAUUUCCACAAACACAGGGCUGUGUUUGCUCCAGAGAAAUUCUGAUUUUCAUUCUGCAAGUAUUUGAGCACCUAGUGCAUGCCAGGCAUGGUGCACGAAAGACAUAACUCCAAGUCAGACCCUGUGGUGUCUGUGUAUGCAGAUAGUUACAAUACAAAUUGUAGAAAUGCUGAAACAUGGGUUUAAACAAAGUCAUACAGGAAGAGGGAGAUGGGAGAGUUGGGGGAGAGACUUUUAUUAUAUAAGGGAGAUUAUACCAAGAGAUUCUAGACUACUGCUUUGUUCUAUCUAGAGAAGUUUACCUAUUAAUACAGCUGUACUGGGGCUUUGGGAAAUGCUAUAGCACUUUAUGCUGGAAUAAAACAGACAAUAUUUAAUUUGUACAUAUAUGUCAGAAUUUCUCUCAUCAGAUUCAAUCUAGAUUAGUUAGAAGGAAGGAUAAUCACAGGAUGAUUCUGCACACAAUUAACGUGACAGUAACUGGUAAUUAUCAAGACUAUAUAUGAAUGUAUUGAUGAUAGGCCAAAAAGAAAAAAAGCCAACUACAAAACUAUCUAUUCAUCAAACUGCUAACCGUGGUUACCUCUGGCAAGGGAAACGGGAGGCGGGAAACUGCAUGUUUUCUUUAUAUGCUUUGGAGUGUUUGCAUUUUACAUAGGCCCUUUGUAAUUUUUCUAAUUCAAAAGAACUAAUUACAUAUUUGUGUUGUCCUGUGAUUAUAGCUGUGUAAAAAUUGUGUAUGCAUAUGAACAACAACUAAAUAGGAAUAUGGAAAAAUUGAAACAGCUGGUUAUGUGGUGAGAUUCUAGGUCUUAGUUUUUUUCUUUGUUAAUUCCUCA
rnacentral:lncRNA from 1 species